UCAGAUAGAGCAGCCAGCGAGGCGCAUAACGGAUAAUAAAUAAUAAUAGAAAAAACCAGCACAAGAAUAAAAAUACCAAAUCCCCGAACGACCUUUUCCUUCUCCUUCCUCAAUCUGAAACUAUUAUCUGAUUCUGCAUAUCUUUGAUCUUUUCUACUUCAAUUUCUCUAAAUUCACUCUCUCCCAUUCUGGAAUUUCUCUCUCUGCUGCUCUUCACUUAUCCAAUCAAGCAUGUAGACGCUGGUUCAAUUACCAUAUCGGAUGGAAGGCAAUCAUAAGGAUUAUUACAAAGUGUUGGAGGUUGAUUAUGAUGCAAGUGAUGAGAAGAUAAGAGUGAAUUAUCGGAAGCUUGCACUGAAGUGGCAUCCUGAUAAACACAAGGGCGAUAGAGCUGUAACUGCCAAAUUCCAAGAGAUUAAUGAAGCUUACAGUGAAAGCACAUCCGUUUGGUAUACCAAGAUGAUUUCACAUUAUACUUUUGUAUUGAGUGAUCCUACUAAACGCUUUGAAUAUGAUCUAACUGGUAUUUAUGAGAUUGAUAAAUAUACUUUGCGGGAAUACCUGGCCAGAUUUAAGGGAAUGAUACUUACAUGCAAUGGCCUUGGUAUUAGUCAUACAUCAAUAUGGACACAGCAAUUGACAGAAACCGAGCUAGGGAUGAGCAAGGAUACUCUAUGAAUUGAGCCAGAAGCGUGGAUAAUAUACCAGCAUUGAAUAGUCAAAUUGAAAGGAAUUGUGAGGAGAAAUGGCAAAACGAUAUUGGAACAUCAAUUCAGAAGAGAUGAUGGAAGCAGGAGGAGUUCGUUUUGGUCGCGGUACUAGAAAAUGGAAUCCUAGAACGGCACCUUAUAUUUCUGCAAAGCAUGAAGUUAUUUCAUAUUACAAAUCCGACUCCGAACUUUAAAAGUAAGAUCUCUUAAAGAUUUUUUGGAGUUUUUCGUAUUAUUUUUCCUUUUUUUCUUGGCAGAGCUUUAGAUUAUUAGGUCGAAACAUGAAACAAAAUAGAUCGAGGCAACAACAUCGGAUUGCUGUGGAAAAGAAUACUUUUCCAUUGUUGAAAGUAUAGUCAGCUAUAUACAAAGUAAAUAAUCUAUAUUUUAUAA